CCCCGCUGCCCCCGGCCGCCGCCCAGCCGCUGUCAGACGGCGCGGUGGUGCUGGGGCCGGGCGUCGGAGUGAGCUCCGAAGUCUGCACGGGGAGGGCAGUACUGCGUGGAAGAGAUAUACCUGUGACACGUAUAACCAAGAUGCUCCGAGUUAUGGGAAAACAAACACCAAAGAGGUGAGAGAGACUUUUUUACUUAUAUAGAAAUAGCUUCAGGGGAAAUCUGAGGAUUAUAAAACACCAAAAUGCUUGACUGAGAGUUGUUUUACUUGGGGAGGGGCACCAGCAACGCACCCUCAGAAUUAUUCUAGUAAACAUGUCUUGAAACCUCUCUUCCACUAGAGGUCCAGUCUUGGAAUCAUAGAAAAUGUAUACAGAUGAUGCUGCUCGUGAAGAAACAAAAAUCUAUUAAAACACCUCCAGUGCAUCAGUAAAAGUGCUGGAAAGAAAUGUGAGUUUUGACUGUUGCUAAGAAGAGAUGUGGCUGUGUACAUUGCACGGGUCCUCUCCAAGUGACAACUCACAGGCAGGGGAAAAGAGACAUCAUUUAGGAGUUGGACUAGAUGGCUUCCAGAGGUCCGUUGCAACCUCAACCAUUCCACAUUUCUGUGAUUAGAAGAGAUUUUAUCUAUCCACUUUGCUGUGGUUCUUACUCUGGUGGCUUUUGAGGAAGCAUUCUCUCCAGGUUUGUCCCACCUGGAACAUGUUGAAACAGCACGAGCAUAGAGAUUCAAGUUACCAAAAUCCCAAUGGUCAAAAAAAUGGCAGGUUCAGCUGCAGUUUAUGGAAACAGAUAUAAUUGUUAGGGUUCAGAGCUGGCAAUGAGCAGAGGAGCUGGCUUCCAACUCAGGAGGUCACUCAAACUUUGGGUUUGGACUGUCCAGUUUUCUCUGAGAAAUCAUGCCCAAACACUUCUGUGUGGUGCCAAAACCAGAAAAUAUGUAGGUCUCCUCACUGUAAAAAAUCAAACAAUUAUUACAGGAUCUGGAUAAUCUCCACAUGCACACAAUAGAAGAAGUUUAGGGAAAGUUUUGUUGAAAAGAGGAAAUUUUGUCUCAUUAAAUUUGGUGGCAAAAAAUUCCAAAUUCAAGCAUGAUUUCACCCUAUGUUACACUCUUGCCAUUGUGUAGAUUUUUGGUUAUAGAUAAGGAUCAGCCAGGGUUUAUAACUAAGUUUAUUUUGUAGUAAGUCUGUAGCAGCAAUUAAAGUUCCAAAACAGUUUUCACAUACUAGUAAUUUAAAGAAAAGUACAUCUCUGAAGAUGUAAUUUUCCAUUUUAAUCUCCAUCCAAAGAUAUUCUUUAACUUUGGGCAAAUUCCUGUCAAACAGUUUGAGUUAUAAUUGUAUGAAAAAAGAUACUCUGCCAGAUGUAAGAGAAAGAUGACUGCUGACAUUUUUAUUUCUUUUCUACAAGAUAAGCCAUGAGAUCUGACCUCUGAAGAACGGUGUAUAAGUAACCACUCAGGAACUUGUUCAUAAAUGGACUGGAAAAGUAAAGUGGAAAAAAAGCUUAAAUUAUUAAGCCUGAAUGUUGGGUAAUAAGAGUGAACAGUAGAAAUAUGGCAAUUAGAUAUUUAAAUUAUUUUUGAUUCUCAGCCUUCUGCCUGAACCAUACCUGAGACAGUAAAGCUAGUACAUAUGGAGCAGAUAUCAGAGCAUGGGUUAUUUCAACAUCCAGUGCAAUAAUUAUGGCUAUAUUCAGUAUCACAAAUCUCGAAAUUGCAUCAAGCAACUUAAAAAAUAAAUUAAUUAUACUAUCACAAGGCAAACUUGGAAGAAAGUAAUUAUUCUUAACAUAGAAUAGUUCUGAGUAAAGAAUUAAUUUAUUGAUUUAGUAGUGUAGAAUUUGAUUACUUAACGUAUAAAUUCUCCCAGGAAUAGAGUCCUGGGGCAUCCUGAGAGGAGUGACUGAAUAACUGGAGACCUUAACGUGUAGAGGUCUUUGUAGGGUGCUCAGUGUAUCGAGUAAAAGAAAUCAUUAAUCCAAGCUACCAUCUAGCUGUGUUUGCCAUCUUGACUACUCAUCACAAAAAUUUGUCAGACUUAUUCAGAACAAAAAAUACAGAUGUAAUUCCCCACAAGUCCCCAGAGGUGUUUUUCAGUAUGGUUAGUUAUAUAUGGAAGAAACAUCAACAUUUCCUUGAUGCCUGACAGCACAAAAUCCUCAAAUAAAUAGCUACAAUAUUGGGUCUCAUAGUGAAAUUUUUAUAAUGUGCCAUACAAUUUUUAAUAUCUACAACAUAUGCAAAGUAGGAUCAAUUUUCUUACACUAGCACAGCAAAUGCGCCUCUAAGAUCCAGUUAAUGGUAUUAAGGUGCACUGAUAUAUUAUUUUAUUUUCUGACUUUAUCUAUAUUAAAAACAAAAUAAACUGAGAUUUUUAUUCCUCCUUACACCUGUAGAAGUAAUUCUUUAUGUGGUCUGAAUGAAGAUAUGAUAAUGGAUCAUCUUAGUAGCAACGUAUCACUAUGAAUAUGCAUUUGUUUUUCACGAGAAGGAUAUUUUAGGAUCGGGGGGAUAGCACUAGUUCUUAAAAGUAGACUAAAAUUAAAGCUUCUGAGUCCCAGGUGGAGGCAUUAAGAAACUAAAAUACCUGAGUUGAGGAAACCCCCAGCUUUGUGAUCAUGGUUAGACCUUCCAUCUGUAACACUAGAUAUAGAAGGAAAAAUACAACAAUCUGUAUUGCUGUGGCUCCUGGAAAAGCUGAAAGUGUGGGUACCAGUUAUUUACUGGACAGCAUGAAACCACAAAAUAAAUUUAACAGUUUGGAGCCCUGAUCCUUCUCAUUUAUGUUUCUGUUUUGCACUGUCCUUAGAAAAAGCACAAGUCUAAAAAAAGCCAAGGAUAUAAUACCCUGAUUUCCACCAUCUACUUAGCCUUUGAUAGAAGUUUUCUUAUUGAUUUCAAUAACUUGAGCUGCAUAGAAUCAAUCUUGAUAUGCUUUGCUUUAUUGAGACUACUCCCAACCUUGAAGUUAAGCAUUAAGGCUCAGAUUCUCGUGGGUAUCUACAUGUUUAAUUAUUUUCCCACAUCAGAACUAGCAGAUAAAGAUGUGUUCCAAAUUCUUGGCCAUAAGGGCAUGACAGUUCCUAGACACUUGUUUCUGAACCAGGCAGCCUGCCAGGUGGAAGGCUUAUUUGCCUCAAAACUUCAAGAAUCCAGUGUGUCAGGCUGGCACAAUGAACCAAUCACUAAAUUCAGAUCACGUAAUACAUACAAGCAUGGUGUUUUCCUUUUGGUGAUGAAAACUACUGGAAUGUAAUACAACAUUUGAAAAAACAUCUCUGCCAGUGUGCUACAUUCUCUCUUUACACCAGCAGUGAGAAUUCCACGCUAAAAGUGAACUAAUUAUCUAAAAAAAAGAAAAAAGCAGCCAUCCGCAUGAAAAAUCUGACUUAAGAGAGUGAUGAGAAAUACUCUUUUUCAUGUGCGAUCUGAAAGCCACUUCUCUUUGCACAGUUUACUUUUGGCCUUCAGUCCUAGCAGAGGAUUUAAAUGAGUCGCCUUCCCUUUUUGGCUCUUUAAAUACGUUGCUUAAUUCCAUCAACAGAGGUCACUGCCGCUCUUUUCCUCUUUGGUGAAAGCAAGCUUUUUCCAGAGAUAAAACAGAACAACUAAUGCUCUCUACUAGCAGAGUUUGGUUUACCCUUUAGAGACUGGUUUGAGAGAGUUCAUGCAUAAUUUUUUGAGGUUGAAAACCAAAUAAAAGCAACAAUAAUAAUAAUUGGUGGGAAAAUAUUGAAAUGAUCCUUGGAACUUAAUGUAAUUUAUGCAGUUUUUAUUAUAGUGAUAUUUUGAGCUUUCUCACUACGUUUCUCCUUCUUUUCAUUUUGUGGUAUGACCAGCAGUCAUAUCUUCUCUGCAGCUCUUGGUAAUUCAGAAUCAAACAUUUUUGCACCAGUGAAGAAUAAGAGAAAAGUUUAUGAAAGGGUACCUUUAAAUUGCUAAGGUUUGGUUAAUAAAUUUGUCAGCAGUCAUCACUUUCAUCUAAACCUAUGUUUGCAUAAUUAAGAAAAUGAUGAAGAAAUAUUUGGCAAUAUCUAUCAUUAAGAGGAAUUAAAGCCAAAGAGUCCAUUUGAGCUAGCAGUAAUGUGAGACUUGCAGUUUUCUACUGCAAAAUCCAUUACAGGUUGAGCCAAAAAUGCCCACAGACAAAGCCCUUCAGAACUAAAGAGAAUAUAGGAGUUGUACAUAGUGAGACACUAUUAAAAAUAUGCAUUACCAUUUUAUGUGUACAAGCAGAAGUACCUCAGUUUACUGAUCAGGAAAAUAAAACUCAUCUCAGAACCAAAGCAGUCACAAUGCCUACUUCUGAAAAGGUGAUUUUCCUUCACAGUUGUCAAAAUUGCUUAAAGGAUCAGGACAGUGGAUUUCCAUUUCAGACAGAUGUGUUUAGAUGUUUAACAUGAAGAUGUCUACCAGUGGGGUAGGUAUCUGAGCUCUAAUUGGAUCUGAUGGGGUCUAAAUUGCGUGCCAGACCAUUGCAAAGCAGUCAUCCACGUUUGUUCAAGGGAUGUGAGCCACUGGCGGCCUUGACCUGAUGCCCAUGGACUCCAGCCCCAGGGGUGCAGUCCAGCUGCCAUAAGGCUGCCUCAAGUCCAUCUCUGAUCUCCAGCUGCUGAUCCAAAGAGCAGAAGGCUCCUGGAGUUCCCGUCCCAAAUCUAGCAUCUCUCAUAGCUUGAUUCACAUCUGAAUGACAUAGCCCUGAGUGCCUUUACCUCUAUUUUACAUGUGAGAAUACUGACACAUAGAAAGCUGAAGAGAUUUGUCCUAGUCCUAACACAAACCAAAUACCUACAGCCUCUGUUCCUUACUCAACAAAAGUAGAGAAGGAGAAACAAAUUCUGAGAGUUUCUGAUUCAGCUUCAAAGGAAAAAAUUGUGUGUCCCAUAAUAUAUUUACCUCUUACAAGUCCCUUUAGUGUUUUUUGUUGCUCUGGAAAACAUGCAGAGUAUAUUUAGUUUUUGGAAAAGAGCAAC
rnacentral:lncRNA from 1 species